GAUGAAGAACUUAGCGAAAUGCGAUAAGUAGUGUGAAUUGCAGAAUUCAGUGAAUCAUCGAAUCUUUGAACGCGCAUUGCGCCCUUUGGUAUUCCUUAGGGCAUGCCUGUUCGAGCGUCAUUUAAACCUUCAAGCUAAGCUUGGUGUUGGGUGACUGUCCGCUUCACGGCGGACUCGCCUCAAAAUUAUUGGCGGCCGGUACAUUGGCUUCGAGCGCAGCAGAAACGCGAACUCGGGCCCGUCGUAUUGGCUCCCAGAAGCUAUCUUCACAAUUUUGACCUCGGAUCAGGUAGGGAUACCCGCUGAACUUAAGCAUAUCAAUAAGCGGAGGA
rnacentral:misc_RNA from 1 species